rnacentral:rRNA from 1 species
UACGAAGGGGGCUAGCGUUGUUCGGAAUCACUGGGCGUAAAGAGCGCGCAGGCGGUCGUUCAAGUCGCGUGUGAAAGCCCCCGGCUCAACUGGGGAGGGUCACGCGAUACUGAUCGACUCGAAGGCAGGAGUGGGUAGUGGAAUUCCCGGUGUAGUGGUGAAAUGCGUAGAUAUCGGGAGGAACACCAGUGGCGAAGGCGACUACCUGGCCUGUUCUUGACGCUGAGGCGCGAAAGCUAGGGGAGCAACGGG